rnacentral:rRNA from 1 species
CCUACGGGGGGCUGCAGUGGGGAAUAUUGCACAAUGGGCGAAAGCCUGAUGCAGCAACGCCGCGUGCGGGAUGACGGCCUUCGGGUUGUAAACCGCUUUCAGUAGGGACGAAGCGAAAGUGACGGUACCUACAGAAGAAGGACCGGCUAACUACGUGCCAGCAGCCGCGGUGAUACGUAGGGUCCAAGCGUUGUCCGGAAUUAUUGGGCGUAAAGGGCUUGUAGGCGGUCCGUCGCGUCAGAAGUGAAAACUCAGGGCUUAACCCUGAGCCUGCUUUUGAUACGGGCGGACUAGAGGAAUGCAGGGGAGAACGGAAUUCCUGGUGGAGCGGUGGAAUGCGCAGAUAUCAGGAGGAACACCGGUGGCGAAGGCGGUUCUCUGGGCAUUACCUGACGCUGAGAAGCGAAAGCGUGGGGAGCAAACAGGCUUAGAUACCCGUGUAGUC